ACUAGCCCCGAAAAUGGAUGG
rnacentral:siRNA from 1 species